UUAUGACAGAAGCGGACAACACUGGGUGUCACCUGAUUGGAUAUUUUUCCAAGGAAAAGAAUUCGUUCCUCAACUACAAUGUGUCCUGUAUCCUUACCAUGCCUCAGUACAUGAGACAGGGCUAUGGCAAGAUGCUCAUUGAUUUCAGUUAUUUGCUUUCCAAAGUCGAAGAAAAAGUUGGCUCACCAGAACGCCCACUCUCAGAUCUGGGGCUCAUAAGCUAUCGCAGUUACUGGAAAGAAGUCCUUCUCCGUUACCUGCAUAAUUUUCAAGGCAAAGAGAUUUCUAUCAAAGAAAUCAGCCAGGAGACAGCUGUGAAUCCCGUGGACAUCGUCAGCACUCUGCAAGCCCUUCAGAUGCUCAAGUACUGGAAGGGAAAGCACCUAGUUUUAAAGCGACAGGACCUGAUUGAUGAGUGGAUCGCCAAAGAGGCCAAAAGGUCCACCUCCAAUAAAACCAUGGAUCCAAGCUGCUUAAAAUGGACCCCUCCCAAGGGCACUUAGAGUGACCUGUCAUUCCGAGCCAGCGAACCCCAGCAGUAGGAAUCCGUACCCUAGGGAUCUGUCUGUCAUUUCUGUUGCUCUUGUGAUUGGCAAGUACAGUAUCCUUUGGGAAGGCCAUCCCCCUCAGGACUGUCCUGGCUCCGACCUUCGUGUACACUGCAGACGCUGGUUCUGAGGAACUGUUGUUUCGGCCUCAGUGAGGUUGCUUGGAUGCGAUCUGUAUUAGACUUGAGUGCAGAUCUCAGCACUGACCCAAGGAGUUCUGUUAUGGUACUGUACCUGUCCAGUCACUGGUUCUCUCCUCAUGUUUUCUCGCCCCAUGAGGUCGUGUCGUGUCUUCUAAACUUGGUACUAGUGCUUCUUGCCGCCCGGUCACCA